GCAAUGCCGCGUGAGUGAUGAAGGCCUUCGGGUCGUAAAGCUCUUUUACCAGGGAUGAUAAUGACAGUACCUGGAGAAUAAGCUCCGGCUAACUCCGUGCCAGCAGCCGCGGUAAUACGGAGGGAGCUAGCGUUGUUCGGAAUUACUGGGCGUAAAGAGUACGUAGGCGGUUAUUCAAGUCAGAGGUGAAAGCCCGGGGCUCAACCCCGGAACUGCCUUUGAAACUAGAUAACUAGAGUCUUGGAGAGGUUAGUGGAAUUCCGAGUGUAGAGGUGAAAUUCGUAGAUAUUCGGAAGAACACCAGUGGCGAAGGCGACUAACUGGACAAGUACUGACGCUGAGGUACGAAAGCGUGGGGAGCAAACAGGAUUAGAUACCCUGGUAGUCCACGCCGUAAACGAUGAUAACUAGUUGUUCGGUCACUUGGUGACUGAGUGACGCAGCUAACGCAUUAAGUUAUCCGCCUGGG
rnacentral:rRNA from 1 species